AAUAUUGGACAAUGGGGGCAACGCUGAUCCAGCCAUGCCGCGUGUGUGAAUAAUGUCUUCGGAUUGUAAAGCACUUUAAUUUGGGAGGAAGGGCUUUAGGUUAAUACCCUGAAGUUUUGACGUUACCAACAGAAUAAGCACCGGCUAACUCUGUGCCAGCAGCCGCGGUAAUACAGAGGGUGCAAGCGUUAAUCGGAAUUACUGGGCUUAAGGCGCGCGUAGGUGGUUCAGUAAGAUGGGAGUGAAAUUCCCGGGCUUAACCUGUGAACUGCUUUCAUGACUGCUAAGCUAGAGUACGGUAGAGGGUAGUGGAAUUUCCUGUGUAGCGGUGAAAUGCGUAGAUAUAGGAAGGAACACCAGUGGCGAAGGCGACUACCUGGACUGUUACUGACACUGAGGUGCGAAAGCGUGGGGAGCAAAC
rnacentral:rRNA from 1 species